GGUAGAUAUCUCUGGCCCUGGAGCAGAGACUCACCGCGUCUGUUCUGCUCACUCUUUCUGCAAUUCCCACAGCCAGAGCAGGACUAAGUGAAUGCCACUGGAGAACAUGACCGGCUGACUGAUGGACUGACCGGCUGACGGUUUUGAUGAAGAAAAACAAAGAAAUCCCUUAUGAAAGUAAAGAAUGGCCUCCCAUGUGUUUUAAGGCUGAAUUCAUGACAGAUAUUUCUCUGAACUGAGUUAAUUUGACCAAACUAAUCCACGGCUCCUCUAAACACUCCAAACCUGUGUUGGAGAGCCUCCGAGUCAUUGACACUGAAGCACACCACUGAACAGUAUUGACACCAUUGUGAAAUCACCCUGUGCCAAGCUGAGCUGAAGGAUCUCCACACCUGUUGGCUCUUUGGUCUGCAGUCAACUCAGGAAGUGAGGAGCUGUAAAGCCCCUUUUCCACCAGUGACCAAGUGUCAGCAGCAAACCAUCAGUUAGUGGGGGAAGGGUGCCCUGGGUGGUCUCAGUUCCCUCUGUGUUCUCACCCAUCACACAGGACAAUAGCUAGAUAGUGAUUGUAGCUAUCAAGUAAAACAUGAGAGCCAAGUGGUCUAUUACAUUUUUAGCUAUAUGUAAUUGAACAGAGUCCCUUUAAUUUUUAUUUUUUUUUUAUUUUUUGGUACUGGGGAUUGAACCCAGGGACAUUUUACCACUAGGCUGCAUCCCCAGCCCAUUUUAGUUCUUAUUUUGAGACAAGGACUCACUAAGUUGCUAGGCUGGUCUUGAACUUGCCUUCCUCCUGCCUCAGCCUCCCGAGUUUUGGGGAUUACAGGCAUGCACCACUGCACCCAGCUAAAAGUAAAAGCAAUUUCUGACAA